GGCCGGGAGCGGCGGGGCCGGGUGCACGGAGCGGGGACUCACCCGGCCGGGCUGCCGUCGUUACAGGUACCAAGCCGGACAGCUCACUCCUCCUGACAGCCCUCGAGAAAGGAGCAGGGAAACUGCCUUUACUGGGAAAUGUAGUCUGUCUGGGAUCAGAAAAGGUUGGACUCAGUAUAGAAGGAGGCUCAGGGAAAGCUGUGUAAGAACUGGACUCCUGCUCAAGGCACUGAAGAUUGAUGUUUCCCUCUCACAAACCAAGAGGAUUACACCUUGAGCCCUGUGCAAGGAUUUGUGCUGCAGGUAUAAUUUCGCCUUCACAGCCAGCUCUCACCCCUGAUGUAAGCACCUCUGUCUCAGUUGAAAUUCCCAAGGUCAUUUCUUGGGUCUUGUGCUGAUCAAAUGGGCAUAUGCAUGGUGGAAGUUACCCCACAGAUGA